rnacentral:rRNA from 1 species
UACGUAGGGGGCUAGCGUUGUCCGGAAUUAUUGGGCGUAAAGAGCUCGUAGGCGGUCUGUCACGUCGGCUGUGAAAUCCCGAGGCUCAACCUCGGGUCUGCAGUCGAUACGGGCAAACUAGAGUACUGCAGGGGAGACUGGAAUUCCUGGUGUAGCGGUGAAAUGCGCAGAUAUCAGGAGGAACACCGGUGGCGAAGGCGGUUCUCUGGGCCUGUACUGACGCUGAGGAACGAAAGCGUGGGGAGCGAACAGG